rnacentral:rRNA from 1 species
UCUGUCCCAGUUACCCACUCCCGGCACGGGGAGGUAGUGACGAAAAAUAACGAUACGGGACUCAUCCGAGGCCCCGUAAUCGGAAUGAGUACACUUUAAAUCCUUUAACGAGGAUCAAUUGGAGGGCAAGUCUGGUGCCAGCAGCCGCGGUAAUUCCAGCUCCAAUAGCGUAUAUUAAAGUUGUUGCGGUUAAAAAGCUCGUAGUCGAAUUUGUGUCCCAUGCCGCUGGUUCAUCGUUCGCGGUGUAAACUGGCGUGACAUGGGACGUCCUGCCGGUGGGCUUAGCUCUUAACGGGGCGGCCCUAUACAAUCCUGCCGCGUUGCUCUUGAUUGAGUGACGAGGUGGGCCGGCUCAUUUACUUUGAACAAAUUAAAGUGCUUAAAGCAGGCUAAAAAUUUGCCUGAAUAUGUGUGCAUGGAAUAAUGGAAUAGGACCUCGGUUCUAUUUUGUUGGUUUUAAGAACUCCGAGGUAAUGAUUAAUAGGAACGGAUGGGGACAUUCGUAUUGCGACGUUAGAGGUGAAAUUCUUGGAUCGUCGCAAGACGAACAUAAGCGAAAGCAUUUGUCAAAAACGUUUUCAUUGAUCAAGAACGAAAGUUAGAGGUUCGAAGGCGAUCAGAUACCGCCCUAGUUCUAACCAUAAACGAUGCCAGCCAGCGAUCCGCCGAAGUUCCUCCGAUGACUCGGCGGGCAGCUUCCGGGAAACCAAAGCUUUUGGGU